AGAGUUUGAUCCUGGCUCAGGACAAACGCUGGCGGCGUGCUUAACACAUGCAAGUCGAACGGGGACUAUUGGGGGGGCAACCCUCCGAUAGUUCUAGUGGCGAACGGGUGAGUAACACGUGAGAAAUCUACCCCUUAGACUGGGACAACCCGCCGAAAGGUGGGCUAAUACCGGAUGUGGUGCCCGGGUGCGAUCCCCGGGCAUUAAAGGAUGGCUGAGGCUUGCAAGCUAUCGCUAAGGGAUGAGCUCGCGCCUGAUUAGCUAGUUGGUGGGGUAAAGGCCCACCAAGGCGACAAUCAGUAGCCGGCCUGAGAGGGCGUACGGCCACACUGGAACUGAGACACGGUCCAGACUCCUACGGGAGGCAGCAGUGGGGAAUUUUCCACAAUGGGCGAAAGCCUGAUGGAGCAACGCCGCGUGAGUGAUGGAGGCCUUCGGGUUGUAAAACUCUGUCGUGCAAGAACAAAGUCACCGGGUGAACAAUCCGGUGAUCUGAUUGUAUUGCAGGAGGAAGACACGGCUAACUCUGUGCCAGCAGCCGCGGUAAUACAGAGGCGUCAAGCGUUGUCCGGAAUUACUGGGCGUAAAGGGCGUGUAGGCGGGCUUGUAAGUCGGAUGUGAAAUCACUGGGCUUAACCCAGUAACUGCAUCCGAAACUGCUUGUCUUGAGUGCAGAAGAGGAAAGCGGAAUUCCCGGUGUAGCGGUGAAAUGCGUAGAUAUCGGGAGGAACACCAGUGGCGAAGGCGGCUUUCUGGUCUGCAACUGACGCUGAAACGCGAAAGCUAGGGGAGCAAACGGGAUUAGAUACCCCGGUAGUCCUAGCCGUAAACG
rnacentral:rRNA from 1 species